rnacentral:rRNA from 1 species
CGAACGCUUCUUUUUCCACCGGAGCUUGCUCCACCGGAAAAAGAGGAGUGGCGAACGGGUGAGUAACACGUGGGUAACCUGCCCAUCAGAAGGGGAUAACACUUGGAAACAGGUGCUAAUACCGUAUAACAAUCAAAACCGCAUGGUUUUGAUUUGAAAGGCGCUUUCGGGUGUCGCUGAUGGAUGGACCCGCGGUGCAUUAGCUAGUUGGUGAGGUAACGGCUCACCAAGGCCACGAUGCAUAGCCGACCUGAGAGGGUGAUCGGCCACAUUGGGACUGAGACACGGCCCAAACUCCUACGGGAGGCAGCAGUAGGGAAUCUUCGGCAAUGGACGAAAGUCUGACCGAGCAACGCCGCGUGAGUGAAGAAGGUUUUCGGAUCGUAAAACUCUGUUGUUAGAGAAGAACAAGGAUGAGAGUAACUGUUCAUCCCUUGACGGUAUCUAUCCAGAAAGCCACGGCUAACUACCUGCCAGCAGCCGCGGUAAUACAUAGGUGGCAAGCGUUGUCCGGAUUUAUUGGGCGUAAAGCGAGCGCAGGCGGUUUCUUAAGUCUGAUGUGAAAGCCCCCGGCUCAACCGGGGAGGGUCAUUGGAAACUGGGAGACUUGAGUGCAGAAGAGGAGAGUGGAAUUCCAUGUGUAGCGGUGAAAUGCGUAGAUAUAUGGAGGAACACCAGUGGCGAAAGCGGCUCUCUGGUCUGUAACUGACGCUGA